rnacentral:rRNA from 1 species
AUGGUUAAGUUAGAAAGGGCGCACGGUGGAUGCCUUGGCACUAGGAGCCGAUGAAGGACGGGACGAACACCGAUAUGCUUCGGGGAGCUGUAAGCAAGCUUUGAUCCGGAGAUUUCCGAAUGGGGAAACCCACUGCUCGUAAUGGAGUAGUAUCCAUACUUGAAUACAUAGAGUAUGAGAAGGCAUACCCGGGGAACUGAAACAUCUAAGUACCCGGAGGAAGAGAAAGCAAAUGCGAUUCCCUGAGUAGCGGCGAGCGAAACGGGAACAGCCCAAACCAAGAGGCUUGCCUCUUGGGGUUGUAGGACACUCUAUACGGAGUUACAAAGGAAUGAUAUAAGCGAAGAGGUCUGGAAAGGCCCGCCAAAGAAGGUAACAGCCCUGUAACUGAAAUGUUGUUCUCUCCAGAGUGGAUCCUGAGUACGGCGGAACACGUGAAAUUCCGUCGGAAUCCGGGAGGACCAUCUCCCAAGGCUAAAUACUCCCUAGUGACCGAUAGUGAACCAGUACCGUGAGGGAAAGGUGAAAAGCACCCCGGAAGGGGAGUGAAAUAGAUCCUGAAACCGUGUGCCUACAAGUAGUCAGAGCCCGUUAACGGGUGAUGGCGUGCCUUUUGUAGAAUGAACCGGCGAGUUACGAUCCCGUGCAAGGUUAAGCAGAAGAUGCGGAGCCGCAGCGAAAGCGAGUCUGAAUAGGGCGCAUGAGUACGUGGUCGUAGACCCGAAACCAGGUGAUCUACCCAUGUCCAGGGUGAAGUUCAGGUAACACUGAAUGGAGGCCCGAACCCACGCACGUUGAAAAGUGCGGGGAUGAGGUGUGGGUAGGGGUGAAAUGCCAAUCGAACCUGGAGAUAGCUGGUUCUCUCCGAAAUAGCUUUAGGGCUAGCCUCAAGGUAAGAGUCUCGGAGGUAGAGCACUGAUUGGACUAGGGGCCCCUACCGGGUUACCGAAUUCAGUCAAACUCCGAAUGCCGAUGACUUAUCCUUGGGAGUCAGACUGCGAGUGAUAAGAUCCGUAGUCGAAAGGGAAACAGCCCAGACCGCCAGCUAAGGUCCCAAAGUAUACGUUAAGUGGAAAAGGAUGUGGAGUUGCUUAGACAACCAGGAUGUUGGCUUAGAAGCAGCCACCAUUUAAAGAGUGCGUAAUAGCUCACUGGUCGAGUGACUCUGCGCCGAAAAUGUACCGGGGCUAAACGUAUCACCGAAGCUGCGGACUGUUCUUACGAACAGUGGUAGGAGAGCGUUCUAAGGGCUGUGAAGCCAGACCGGAAGGACUGGUGGAGCGCUUAGAAGUGAGAAUGCCGGUAUGAGUAGCGAAAGACGGGUGAGAAUCCCGUCCACCGAAUGCCUAAGGUUUCCUGAGGAAGGCUCGUCCGCUCAGGGUUAGUCGGGACCUAAGCCGAGGCCGAAAGGCGUAGGCGAUGGACAACAGGUUGAUAUUCCUGUACCACCUCCUCACCAUUUGAGCAAUGGGGGGACGCAGGAGGAUAGGGUAAGCGCGGUAUUGGAUAUCCGCGUCCAAGCAGUUAGGCUGGGAAAUAGGCAAAUCCGUUUCCCGUAAAGGCUGAGCUGUGAUGGCGAGCGAAAUUUAGUAGCGAAGUUCCUGAUUCCACACUGCCAAGAAAAGCCUCUAGCGAGGUGAGAGGUGCCCGUACCGCAAACCGACACAGGUAGGCGAGGAGAGAAUCCUAAGGUGAUCGAGAGAACUCUCGUUAAGGAACUCGGCAAAAUGGCCCCGUAACUUCGGGAGAAGGG